rnacentral:rRNA from 1 species
CCUACGGGAGGCAGCAGUGAGGAAUAUUGGUCAAUGGGCGCGAGCCUGAACCAGCCAAGUAGCGUGAAGGAUGACUGCCCUACGGGUUGUAAACUUCUUUUAUAAAGGAAUAAAGUGAGGCACGUGUGCCUUUUUGUAUGUACUUUAUGAAUAAGGAUCGGCUAACUCCGUGCCAGCAGCCGCGGUAAUACGGAGGAUCCGAGCGUUGUCCGGAUUUAUUGGGUUUAAAGGGAGCAUAGAUGGGUUGUUAAGUCAGUUGUGAAAGUUUGCGGCUCAACCGUAAAAUUGCAAUUGAUAGUGGGAGUCUUGAGUACAGUUGAGGUAGGCAGAAUUCGUGAUG